GACGAACGCUGGCGGCGUGCCUAAUACAUGCAAGUCGUGCGGACCUUUUAAAAGCUUGCUUUUAAAAGGUUAGCGGCGGACGGGUGAGUAACACGUGGGCAACCUGCCUGUAAGACCGGGAUAACGCCAGGAAACCGGGGCUAAUACCGGAUAGUUUUUUCCUCCGCAUGGAGGAAAAAGGAAAGGCGGCUUCGGCUGCCACUUACAGAUGGGCCCGCGGCGCAUUAGCUAGUUGGCGGGGUAACGGCCCACCAAGGCAACGAUGCGUAGCCGACCUGAGAGGGUGAUCGGCCACAUUGGGACUGAGACACGGCCCAAACUCCUACGGGAGGCAGCAGUAGGGAAUCUUCCGCAAUGGACGAAAGUCUGACGGAGCAACGCCGCGUGAGUGAAGAAGGCCUUCGGGUCAUAAAACUCUGUUGCCGGGGAAGAACAAGUGUCGUUCGAACAGGGCGGCACCUUGACGGUACCCGGCCAGAAAGCCACGGCUAACUACGUGCCAGCAGCCGCGGUAAUACGUAGGUGGCAAGCGUUGUCCGGAAUUAUUGGGCGUAAAGCGCGCGCAGGCGGCUUCUUAAGUCUGAUGUGAAAUCUUGCGGCUCAACCGCAAGCGGUCAUUGGAAACUGGGAGGCUUGAGUGCAGAAGAGGAGAGUGGAAUUCCACGUGUAGCGGUGAAAUGCGUAGAGAUGUGGAGGAACACCAGUGGCGAAGGCGGCUCUCUGGUCUGUAACUGACGCUGAGGCGCGAAAGCGUGGGGAGCAAACAGGAUUAGAUACCCUGGUAGUCCACGCCGUAAACGAUGAGUGCUAAGUGUUAGAGGGUUUCCGCCCUUUAGUGCUGCAGCUAACGCAUUAAGCACUCCGCCUGGGGAGUACGGCCGCAAGGCUGA
rnacentral:rRNA from 1 species